UACAGAGGUCCCAAGCGUUUGUUCGGAUUCACUGGGCGUAAAGGGUGCGUAGGUGGCGGGGUAAGUCUGAUGUGAAAUCUCCGAGCUUAACUCGGAAAUGGCAUUGGAAACUACCUUGCUCGAGGGUUGGAGGGGGGACUGGAAUUCUCGGUGUAGCAGUGAAAUGCGUAGAUAUCGAGAGGAACACCAGUGGCGAAGGCG
rnacentral:rRNA from 1 species